rnacentral:sRNA from 1 species
ACUCAACGUUAAUUCUUUAAAAAGGGUGAGUUUAAGUUGUAAAAGCAUGCUGUCUCGAGCAGAUCCUUGAUCAGCUUGUUAGCCCUAAACUUGUUUUUAAGGAGUUU